UGAUGCCCUGCAUGCCGACCCUCCAGUUCUGAGGGCAAAAUUUAGUAAAUGAGUGCCCUUAGGGAGGGAGGCAAUAAAACCUACAGCCUCCUUCACACAGUGUAGGGACCUGCUCUUGCAGGGGAGAGUCGCUCUCAGCCAUACUGGAGUCCUGCUCAGAAGGAGGAUUAAGAUGGCCUAGCAGAGCACAAGGGACUGCAGCCCACUGAAAUUGCUCUCCAGGAUCACAGAUGCAGGAGAGAGCAGCAUGGCUGGAACAUG
rnacentral:lncRNA from 12 species